AGAGUUUGAUCCUGGCUCAGAUUGAACGCUGGCGGCAUGCCUUACACAUGCAAGUCGAACGGCAGCACGGGAGCAAUCCCGGUGGCGAGUGGCGAACGGGUGAGUAAUAUAUCGGAACGUGCCCAGUCGUGGGGGAUAACGCAGCGAAAGCUGUGCUAAUACCGCAUACGAUCUACGGAUGAAAGCGGGGGACUCAGCAAUGAGCCUCGCGCGAUUGGAGCGGCCGAUAUCAGAUUAGCUAGUUGGUGGGGUAAAAGCCCACCAAGGCGACGAUCUGUAGCUGGUCUGAGAGGACGACCAGCCACACUGGAACUGAGACACGGUCCAGACUCCUACGGGAGGCAGCAGUGGGGAAUUUUGGACAAUGGGCGCAAGCCUGAUCCAGCAAUGCCGCGUGCAGGAUGAAGGCCUUCGGGUUGUAAACUGCUUUUGUACGGAACGAAGAGGUCUGCCCUAAUACGGCGGGCUCAUGACGGUACCGUAAGGAUAAGCACCGGCUAACUACGUGCCAGCAGCCGCGGUAAUACGUAGGGUGCGAGCGUUAAUCGGAAUUACUGGGCGUAAAGCGUGCGCAGGCGGUUAUAUAAGACAGAUGUGAAAUCCCCGGGCUCAACCUGGGACCUGCAUUUGUGACUGUAUAGCUAGAGUACGGUAGAGGGGGAUGGAAUUCCGCGUGUAGCAGUGAAAUGCGUAGAUAUGCGGAGGAACACCGAUGGCGAAAGCAAUCCCCUGGACCUGUACUGACGCUCAUGCACGAAAGCGUGGGGAGCAAACAGGAUUAGAUACCCUGGGUAGUCCACGCCCUAAACGAUGUCAACU
rnacentral:rRNA from 1 species